CCUACGGGAGGCAGCAGUGGGGAAUAUUGGACAAUGGGGGCAACCCUUAUCCAGCGAAGCCGCGUGAGGGAAGAAGGUUUUCGGAUUGUAAACCUCUGUCAGUGGGGACGUUAAUUGCGGUAUCCACGGUGCAAGCCACGGCUAAUUCCGUGCCAGCAGCCGUGGUUAUACGUAGGUGGCAAGCGUUGUCCGGAAUUACUGGGUGUAAAGGGAGCGUAGGCGGGAUGUCAAGUCAGAAGUGAAAAUUAUGGGCUCAACUGAUAACCUGCUGUUGAAACUGAUAUUCUUGAGUGAAGUAGAGGCAAGCGGAAUUCCUAGUGUAGCGGUGAAAUGCGUAGAUAUUAGGAGGAACACCAGUGGCGAAGGCGGCUUGCUGGACUUUUACUGACGCUGAGGCUCGAAAGCGUGGGGAGCAAACAGGAUUAGAUACCCGGGUAGUC
rnacentral:rRNA from 1 species